CCUACGGGAGGCAGCAGUAGGGAAUCUUCCACAAUGGGCGAAAGCCUGAUGGAGCAACGCCGCGUGGGUGAAGAAGGUCUUCGGAUCGUAAAACCCUGUUGUUAGAGAAGAAAGUGCGUGAGAGUAACUGUUCACGUUUCGACGGUAUCUAACCAGAAAGCCACGGCUAACUACGUGCCAGCAGCCGCGGUAAUACGUAGGUGGCAAGCGUUAUCCGGAUUUAUUGGGCGUAAAGGGAACGCGGGCGGUCUUUUAAGUCUGAUGUGAAAGCCUUCGGCUUAACCGGAGUAGUGCAUUGGAAACUGGGAGACUUGAGUGCAGAAGAGGAGAGUGGAACUCCAUGUGUAGCGGUGAAAUGCGUAGAUAUAUGGAAGAACACCAGUGGCGAAAGCGGCUUUCUGGUCUGUAACUGACGCUGAGGUUCGAAAGCGUGGGUAGCAAACAGGAUUAGAUACCCUUGUAGUC
rnacentral:rRNA from 1 species